UAGAAAACAAAGGAAUUCUGGACUUACUUACUUAUUUGGGAUGGGACCUGCGGGAUUACUCCUUGAUGCAUGAUUACAUCAUUGGAACUAAAUUUGAGUCGUCUAGGAUCACAUCACAACUAUUGUUUAGUACCCACACGUAGAGGGGAUCCUUCUGAGUUCUCGAUAAUACUGAUCAAUGGUAUCGUGUGUGACGUCCC
rnacentral:lncRNA from 1 species